GUGGGGAAUUUUGCGCAAUGGGGGAAACCCUGACGCAGCAACGCCGCGUGAGUGAUGAAGGCCUUCGGGUCGUAAAGCUCUUUUAGUGGGGAAGAACCCCUUUCGGGCGAAUAACCCGGGAGGAUGACGGUACCCACAGAAAAAGUUCCGGCUAACUACGUGCCAGCAGCCGCGGUAAUACGUAGGGAGCAAGCGUUGUUCGGAAUUAUUGGGCGUAAAGAGCGCGUAGGCGGUUUGGUAAGUCUGACGUGAAAUCCCGGAGCUCAACUCCGGAACUGCGUUGGAUACUGCCAGGCUUGAGUGUGGGAGAGGAGAGUGGAAUUCCCAGUGUAGAGGUGAAAUUCGUAGAUAUUGGGAGGAACACCCGUGGCGAAGGCGGCUCUCUGGACCACAACUGACGCUGAGGCGCGAAAGCUAGGGUAGCAAACGGGAUUAGAUACCCCUGUAGUCC
rnacentral:rRNA from 1 species